AGAGUUUGAUUAUGGCUCAGGAUGAACGCUGGCGGCGUGCCUAACACAUGCAAGUCGAACGAUAGUAGCAAUACUAUAGUGGCGCACGGGUGAGGAACACGUAGCUAACCUGCCCCAAAGUGCGGGAUAACGUUCCGAAAGGAACGCUAAUACCGCAUAAGCUCACGCGAAGUAGAGGCGAGUGAGAAAAGAUUUAUCGCUUUGGGAGGGGGCUGCGGCCUAUCAGGUAGUUGGUGGGGUAAAAGCCUACCAAGCCGACGACGGGUAGGGGGUCUGAGAGGAUGAUCCCCCACACUGGGACUGAGACACGGCCCAGACUCCUACGGGAGGCAGCAGUGAGGGAUAUUGCACAAUGGGGGAUACCCUGAUGCAGCGACGCCGCGUGGGUGAUGAAGGCUUUCGGGUCGUAAAACCCUUUUCUAGGUGACGAGGAAGGACGGUAGCCUAGGAAUAAGUCUCGGCUAACUACGUGCCAGCAGCCGCGGUAAAACGUAGGAGGCAAGCGUUAUCCGGAGUUACUGGGCGUAAAGCGCGCGCAGGUGGUUGGAUAAGUGGGGCGUGAAAUUUCCCGGCUAAACCGGGAGGGGACGAACCAGACUAUCCGACUGGAGUACAGUAGAGGAACGCGGAAUUCGGGGUGUAGCGGUGAAAUGUGCAGAGAUCCCGAGGAACACCAGAGGGUAAGACGGCGUUCUGGGCUGUAACUGACACUGAGGCGCGAAAGCGUGGGAGCGAACGGGAUUAGAGACCCCGGUAGUCCACGCCGUAAACGAUGCUAGCUAGAUGUCUGGGCCGCGCAACGGCAUUGGGCGUCGAAGCCAACGCGAUAAGCUAGCCGCCUGGGGAGUACGGUCGCAAGGCUAAAACUCAAAGGAAUUGACGGGGGCCCGCACAAGCAGCGGAGCGUGUGGUUUAAUUCGAGGCUACACGAAGAACCUUACCUAGGUUUGACAUCACGGUAGUAGGGAACCGAAAGGGGACCGACCGCAAGGAGCCGUGACAGGUGCUGCAUGGCUGUCGUCAGCUCGUGUCGUGAGAUGUUCGGUUAAGUCCGAAAACGAGCGCAACCCCUUGGAGAAGUUACAAGUGUCUGAUCCGACUGCCCGCGAGAAGCAGGAGGAAGGUGGGGAUGACGUCAAGUCAGCAUGGCCUUUAUAUCUAGGGCUACACACACGCUACAAUGGGCACUACAGUGGGCAGCGAAGGGGCGACCCGGAGCGAAUCCUAAAAAGGUGUUCACAGUUCGGAUUGUAGGCUGCAACUCGCCUGCAUGAAGCUGGAGUUGCUAGUAACCGCAGGUCGGCCAUACUGCGGUGAAUACGUUCCCGGGCCUUGUACACACCGCCCGUCACGUCAUGGGAGCUGGUCACGCCUGAAGUCGGUGAGCGAACCGCAAGGAAGCAACCGCCGAGGGCAGGGCCGGUGACUGGGACGAAGUCGUAACAAGGUAGCUGUAGCGGAAGCUGCGGCUGGAUCACCUCCUUUCU
rnacentral:rRNA from 1 species